rnacentral:rRNA from 1 species
UCCGGUGGCAAUAGCGGAGGUUAAAAACCCGUUCCCAUACCGAACACGGAAGUGAAGCCCUCCAGCGCCGAUGGUACUGCUAUUGCGGGAGAGUAGGUCGCUGCCGGUG